rnacentral:rRNA from 1 species
UGGACAUGGGGGCNACCGNAUCCUUCAAUGCCGCGUGAGUGAAGAACGCCUUCGGUUUGUAAAGCUCUUUUGUCAGGGAAGAAACAGCAGCUCUAACACAGUCUGCGAAUGACGGUACCUGAAGAAUAAGCACCGGCUAACUACGUGCCAGCAGCCGCGGUAAUACGUAGGGUGCAAGCGUUAAUCGGAAUUACUGGGCGUAAAGCGUGCGCAGGCGGUUAUACAAGACAGGCGUGAAAUCCCCGGGCUUAACCUGGGAAUGGCGUCUGUGACUGUAUAGCUAGAGUGUGUCAGAGGGGGGUGGAAUUCCACGUGUAGCAGUGAAAUGCGUAGAUAUGUGGAGGAACACCAAUGGCGAAGGCAGCCCCCUGGGAUAACACUGACGCUCAUGCACGAAAGCGUGGGGAGCAAACAGGAUUAGAUACCCUGGUAGUCCACGCCCUAAACGAUGCUGACUAGUUGUUGGGAAUCUACAUUCUCAGUAACGUAGCUAACGCGUGAAGUCAGCCGCCUGGGGAGUACGGUCGCAAGAUUAAAACUCAAAGGAAUUGACGGGGACCCGCACAAGCGGUGGAUGAUGUGGAUUAAUUCGAUGCAACGCGAAAAACCUUAGCUACCCUUGACACGUCAAUAACGAAGUAGAGAUACCUUAAGGUGGUCGUAAGAAAACUUGACCCAGGUGUUGUUGUUGCGGACACUGGGUUGGGAGAUGUGGGUAAGUCCGGAAGGAGCGGAC